UGCACGUUCCUUAGAUCCGCCUCCGGGGUCCAGCGUCCUUUUUGGACAUCGGGCCCACUGACCUUGCCGGUUGGAUAUCGGUGGUGAAUGAGUCAUAAGCGUGCUAGAGUACCAACUUGCAUUUCCAGCUCUUCCUCAGAUCUUUCUUUCUGUGAAAUCUGGUUUUGCGAACACA